rnacentral:rRNA from 1 species
UCUGACACAGGUGCUGCAUGGCUGUCGUCAGCUCGUGCUGUGAAGUGUGGGUUAAGUCCCGCAACGAGCGCAACCCUGCUGUCUGUUGCCACCACGAGAGGUGGGGACUCAGGCGGAACUGCCGGUGACAAACUGGAGGAAGGUGGGGAUGACGUCAAAUCAUCAUGCCCCUUAUGACCUGGGCUACAAACGUGAUACAAUGGCUGGAACAAAGGGAUGCGAAGCAGUGAUGUGGAGCGAAACCCAUAAAAACAGUCUCAGUUCGGAUUGAAGUCUGCAACUCGACUUCAUGAAGUCGGAAUCGCUAGUAAUCGCGGAUCAGAACGCCGCGGUGAAUACGUUCUCGGGGUUU